UGAACGCUAGCUACAGGCUUAACACAUGCAAGUCGAGGGGCAGCAUGGUCUUAGCUUGCUAAGGCCGAUGGCGACCGGCGCACGGGUGAGUAACACGUAUCCAACCUGCCGUCUACUCUUGGACAGCCUUCUGAAAGGAAGAUUAAUACAAGAUGGCAUCAUGAGUCCGCAUGUUCACAUGAUUAAAGGUAUUCCGGUAGACGAUGGGGAUGCGUUCCAUUAGAUAGUAGGCGGGGUAACGGCCCACCUAGUCUUCGAUGGAUAGGGGUUCUGAGAGGAAGGUCCCCCACAUUGGAACUGAGACACGGUCCAAACUCCUACGGGAGGCAGCAGUGAGGAAUAUUGGUCAAUGGGCGAGAGCCUGAACCAGCCAAGUAGCGUGAAGGAUGACUGCCCUAUGGGUUGUAAACUUCUUUUAUAAAGGAAUAAAGUCGGGUAUGGAUACCCGUUUGCAUGUACUUUAUGAAUAAGGAUCGGCUAACUCCGUGCCAGCAGCCGCGGUAAUACGGAGGAUCCGAGCGUUAUCCGGAUUUAUUGGGUUUAAAGGGAGCGUAGAUGGAUGUUUAAGUCAGUUGUGAAAGUUUGCGGCUCAACCGUAAAAUUGCAGUUGAUACUGGAUAUCUUGAGUGCAGUUGAGGCAGGCGGAAUUCGUGGUGUAGCGGUGAAAUGCUUAGAUAUCACGAAGAACUCCGAUUGCGAAGGCAGCCUGCUAAGCUGCAACUGACAUUGAGGCUCGAAAGUGUGGGUAUCAAACAGGAUUAGAUACCCUGGUAGUCCACACGGUAAACGAUGAAUACUCGCUGUUUGCGAUAUACUGCAAGCGGCCAAGCGAAAGCGUUAAGUAUUCCACCUGGGGAGUACGCCGGCAACGGUGAAACUCAAAGGAAUUGACGGGGGCCCGCACAAGCGGAGGAACAUGUGGUUUAAUUCGAUGAUACGCGAGGAACCUUACCCGGGCUUAAAUUGCAGAUGAAUUACGGUGAAAGCCGUAAGCCGCAAGGCAUCUGUGAAGGUGCUGCAUGGUUGUCGUCAGCUCGUGCCGUGAGGUGUCGGCUUAAGUGCCAUAACGAGCGCAACCCUUGUUGUCAGUUACUAACAGGUUCCGCUGAGGACUCUGACAAGACUGCCAUCGUAAGAUGUGAGGAAGGUGGGGAUGACGUCAAAUCAGCACGGCCCUUACGUCCGGGGCUACACACGUGUUACAAUGGGGGGUACAGAGGGCCGCUACCACGCGAGUGGAUGCCAAUCCCCAAAACCUCUCUCAGUUCGGACUGGAGUCUGCAACCCGACUCCACGAAGCUGGAUUCGCUAGUAAUCGCGCAUCAGCCACGGCGCGGUGAAUACGUUCCCGGGCCUUGUACACACCGCCCGUCAAGCCAUGGGAGCCGGGGGUACCUGAAGUGCGUAACCGCGAGGAGCGCCCUAGGGUAAAACUGGUGACUGGG
rnacentral:rRNA from 1 species